rnacentral:lncRNA from 1 species
AUUUAUUCUCAUAAUUAACUAAAAAUUUGCAUUCUUUAGUUACGGUGAAAAGACAAUAAAGAGUGAUAUAUGUUAAAUAUAAAAAUGUUAAGCUUUUAGAGUACAACGGUUGUUUCACAUAGUAUCAGAGCAGGAGGUCCUGAGUUCGAGUCACGCCAGGCUCCUAGCAUAUUAAUUUCCUCCCAUUUAACUCAAGCCCACGUCAUGAGCCGAUUAAAAAAUCUAAAAAUCUCUACGCUUAAGCUUUUAGAGUACAACGGUUGUUUCACAGUAUAUAGAAUACAAGAAUGAUGUCAAAAAUAUAUUUUUAACAUAUUAAUUGAUAUUGUCAUUCCUUUUUACAUGGAAUAAUAAGUUUAUAUAUAUAUUUUAUAUAAAAUAAUGGGAUGGGAUGGAGGGCACAAGUUUAUGAUUAUAUAUAUGAUUAUAUAUGUGGUG